rnacentral:rRNA from 1 species
UACGUAGGGUGCAAGCGUUAAUCGGAAUUACUGGGCGUAAAGCGUGCGCAGGCGGUUAUGUAAGCCAGAUGUGAAAUGCCCGGGCUUAACCUGGGAACUGCAUUUGUGACUGCAUGGCUAGAGUGUGUCAGAGGGGGGUAGAAUUCCACGUGUAGCAGUGAAAUGCGUAGAUAUGUGGAGGAACACCGAUGGCGAAGGCAGCCCCCUGGGAUAACACUGACGCUCAUGCACGAAAGCGUGGGGAGCAAACAGG